rnacentral:lncRNA from 1 species
GUAAAAAGCACAACCGAACCCAUGUGUUUACGGUAGCAGGUUUGACUCCUGAGAGCCGAGACAAAACUUUAAUCCCAGAUCAUGCCCUGAGGGGUGGCCUUGGCUCUGGGCAUGCCAAAGCUGGCCGGAACACCCAGCUGCAGCCCCUUGGCCUUAGGAGCAAGAAGGUGUUCCCUCUCCUCAAAGCACAAUCGUUCAGAGCUCAUGGAGGUGCAGGCGAGGUGCUGGCAUUACUAAUGCAAUACUGUCUCCGGACGUGGCAGCUCCCAUGACGUCAUAGCUGGCCCCAUGGUAUCUUCAGGUGUGCUUUGGGUGCGCCCUAGGUGUUCUCCAUUAGAGUUAGACCUUGAUUUUAAAUCCAAGCAAGCUUGGGGGCCCCUUGCCUUGUAUGGUAUGGUACGCUCACUGAGUGCCUGGGUCUCGCUUUGCCAACUCUUGCUCUGGGGACAUUAGUGAACCAGAGGCCUGGCAAUUACUAGCCACGCUCAGGCGUGUGCCGAGCUGCAGAUUGAAGUAAAAUUGGCACUCAGUGUUUCGGAAUCAAAUCCCACCCCUUCGAAGCACCGUUGGUCGGCCACCUAAAGUCUCUCAAAGCCCACCAUCUCUCUCUGUGCUGGGGAAAAGAUGUACUCCUCUAUUGGGAAUGGCGAGAGUCUUCAAGAAGGGCCUUUGAGCUUCCUUAGAUUACAAUUAAGGUUCAUUUCAGUUUUUUUUCUUUCAAACAGUGUGCCAUCCCCCAAAGUUUCUGUAGGACUAACCCAAGGGCUCACUCCCCACGGCAAGGUCUUAUCUACCAUCUAGUUCACGAUCCAUCCAAAUUCCCACGGAGAGCUUUUUUCCUUUACAAUGAUUGAUGGGUAUCUCGGCCACUUUACCUAUCCAUCUGAUUGACAAUAACCUCCCCUGCUUUUAGUCUGAAUUUUCAGAGUAAAUUAUGACCUGGCUUUCUUUGCCAAAGCGAUGGCCACCCCGCCUCCCAAGACAAAGACCGCGAAAGCCCAUGGAGGGCCAGCCCCUCUCUCUCUCAGAGGGGCCUUGGGAGCGGGCGUGUGUUUCUCAUGGCAUACUUUAAAAAUUGAAAGAAGAAACGAACCACCACCCACCCUUUCCCCUGGCUGGCGGGAGACGGGGCAGUGUUACCGAGUGAAUUGUUGUUGGCGCUGACUCUCAAUAAAACUGUCGCAAUGUACCUACUAGGUUCCUCCCGAGGGUUCAGGGACAGCAAGGAGAGCUCCAUCCCCCACAGCCCAUCUCCAUUCGGGGUCACCUACGUCAUCUAUGGGUUCUGGUAGUCCUGGGAGAGGCAGGGAAAUGUCCUCGAAAAAGAAAAAAGGGCUGCUCUCCAGAGGCAAGAAACUGCUGCA